CUUUUAGCUUAAUUUUAAAAUAAAAUUUUUUUCUAACUCUACUAUUCAAUCCAUGUAAUUUGAAUAAUAUAACUAUUUAGUCUCUGUAAUUUUAAAUUUAUUAACUAUUCAGUUCCUAUCUUACAACUAUUCUCUCUUUUUUUUACUAACAUGAUUAAUAGAAAGGUUAACGAGAGGGACGAAAUAGUUCACUGACUUAAAAAUAGAGAGACUAAAAAGUGUACUUUUUAAAAUAAAUGAACUAAGUUUUGUUAAAAUGUAUAGACUAAAUAGUAAUUUUCUCAAAAACAUAUAAAUAUAUAUGAAUUGGUCAACUAAAAUAGCACAUAAAAGAAAAAUUACCCUGCUUUUAAGGAAAACAAGAUGUGUUGGAAUGGCUUCAGCAUAGGCAGCCACAGACAAGUAAUCAAUUCCUAUAUUUUAUAACAGGAAAUCUGUCAGUUAUAAUGGAAUUCAUUCUAUUGAAUGAAAUCAGUAAGAUUCCAUUUGGAUAGGCUUGAAUUUUAAAGGAUGUGAUCUUACCAACAAAUUUGAUGUCUGUGUUCUCAACUAGCCAUUUUGCUCCAUCCUCCAAGAACCCAGCAUAGCUUGUGUCAAACUCCUUUUUGAACAUAAGCUUCCUGAAAACAACCUAAUUAAUCUUGCUCAAGAACGCCAUCAUCUCAUGUUAGUUAUACUAAUACACAACUCAAAAUGUACCAAACACAGGUUCCUGCAGAACUUUCAACUAUGGUUCAAUUUAUGUGGUCUAUUUACCCUGUAAAAAAAAAAACAGGGUUAAUCAUUUCAACUCCAAAUUUUUGUCCUAAAAGGUUACAGAACAGGCCUGCUACCCUAAAAUGGCAUAGUUUAGCCUAAAUUUCAAUCUCACUCUACAGCUGAGCCAACAAUGUCCCAUGAAAUCGAAGUUGAAAUUUAUAUAGCUUAAACUUGUCUACAGUGGAAAAAUUCGAGAUUUCGUUGGAAGCAUCAGAAGAGGAAAUACAGAGAGAUGAGACAGAACGUAUCAAUUUCCUCCGAUAGCUCAAUACCAGUCAUCUCAGCUUAGAAAUACAGUAAACAACACUCUUCACAUGAAACUAAACAUCCUAUAAAAAUGAUCCACAUUGAUGAUUCUUACCUGUCAGUGUUUAAAGUUCUGAAAAGCACCCGGCGUACUCCCUUGGGAAUUUCCAAGGACUUAAUAACUUCAGCUGUAAUAAGAUUGCAAAAAGAUAUUGGAUCAACUCCACAAUAUUGCCAAAGAGCUUGGAAACACCACAGGUCUAGCUGCAAAUCAUUCUAAUCAUUCAUGGGUCACCUAGCUUCUCAAAUAUGUUCAGAAAGAAAACACCAUCUAGCUACAAAUAGCAUUAAUAUCGUAUAUCUUAUCAAAAAACAUUAAACCCAAAAGAAUAUAAUAAAAAAAAAAACUACCUGUUAUAUUGCUUUCCCUUGGAACAUCAACUAACAGUGCUGGACCUGUUAUCACCAAGAAAGACAACAAAAAUCAUUAGUCACAAUUGCAGAAUUACCCAUAAACGAAGUUCAAUUUGAUCAAACAGUGAUUGGGUACUCAACGGUGGAGUGAUUGUCUGAGUGCAAGAGUAAUUAAUGAUUACAAGGCCACUCCUAAUCACUUACCGAAUCAUAAAAGCAAAUAUAAAGAACACUUAAAUUAAAUUUAAUACAGCAAUUAUGACCAUUAACCAGCAGCACUGUGUUCUUAGUUUGUUACCAUUUAGAACCUCUAAGUCCAGAGUAUCAACAUCGAACCCGGCGUCGUAAUAGUGAUCGUAAACAUGUCCCGGCGCAUCCACAUGGGUGCCGGAGUGUACGGACAACUUGAAUUCUGAGAAGUUGGCCAUGGAGCCAUUCUUCAAGCUUUCAAAGAGGCGGAUAAACAUUCCUAUACCCUCCUUGGAGUCCCACGACGGCAUGUCGCUUACGUACCUGUGGCUGAUGUCUAUGAUUCUUCCGUUGCCGUACACUUCAUUUCGCUCAGGGAAGAGGAGGUCGUCGUCGGUGGAGCUUGCACCGCAGCCGCAGUCAUCGUCGACAGUGGGGUAUGCGGCGUCGGAUGAGGAAGCGGUGAUGGAAUGUAGCAGAGUGAAGAGGAGUAGGAGGAGGAAAUAAUGGCGUUGGCUCAUUGUUUUUGACUUUGUGAUUUUGCUGUGGAGAGGGAAGAAUCUGUUGCGUGUUAUCGGAACUGAAAGGCGUUGAAAAUUUU
rnacentral:misc_RNA from 1 species